GGAACAGGUUUCGUCGAGAUUUUUCCGAUUUUUUGGUAGCUUUGAAAUUUACUUAAUCCUUAACGAGUAUCGUUUGAUCUGGAUCGACGAUUGUAAGAGUAGUUGAUUAGGUUUGGAUUAGGUGCUGGAUUUUGAAUAUUUUUGUGCUACUAGUAAUCGUGAAUGUUAUUUAGGAUUAGAUACUGAACUUUUUUUUUACCAAAUCCAAUGAAACUAACUAAUUUUAGGAUAGAUUUCUUCACAGUUUUUGAAAACUUUGGAACUUGUUUUUACCCAUAAUUGGUAUCGUUGGACCAUUAAUUACGUAUCAGACUUUGCGAUAUUUUAGGUAUUUGAGUUAAGAAUAAGUAAUAUUUAUUUCGUACUUCUUAUUUUACGCGAUAUAAAUCAUCGGUGAUAAGAUAAAACGCAAACUAAAAGUGGAGUCAGGCAAAUUACCGUGAUCAACUGUGAAAUAUUCAACUAUGGAAAGUUGAAGUUCGUAGACCAGUGAGAGUGUUAAGGGUUGCGUUUUAAUGGAACUGGAGUUUCUAAACGAUAUUUGUAACAUACCUCAUCUAUGAUAAUUAAAAAUAAAAGCCGAAACAUCGAAAUUCCUAGACGACGAUAGAAAUUCAAGCGAGCAAAAAACAGCGUAUCCGUGGAACGCACGCGAAUCGAAGGGGACAGGAAGGAGAGGAAAGAAAGAAUAGUGGAGCGCAUGCACAUACGUACACUGUGCUUAUGGUCGCGUAUUGCGUAUGUAGUGGAGAAGGUUUGAGCGCGUGCACGUACCAACAUACGUUCCUACAUACGUUUAUGCACAGGUAUCGUCGGCUUCCGCGAACUAGAUCGGCCGAGCAGAUAUUAGGAGCGCGUCUGCCCCGUUGCCAUUGCGGCAAGUGCUGGUCAUUGUCCACCCGGCAGGUACAGGAAGUCAACGCCGACCAACGACGGUGCACACAAACGAGAGAAGGAGAUUUUUCGGUAGGAUAAUCAUGGAGAAACUACAACGAGGUGCAAGAUUAUCGUCGCCCCGCUUUUGCGAAAACAACGUACGGUCCUAUAAUUAAGGGUGCGUUUUGUGUUGCGAGAGAUGGGGUUGAAAAGGGACGUUAAUGUGCAAAGUUUUAUAGCUGUUCUAGGGGCUCUCUGUUCGAGGGAAAGGUUGAAAUAUUUAGGUGAAUGAAGUUUGUUCGGGGGUUGAGCGGGCUAAGUUUAGGCUACGCUGAGUUCAAAUUAAUUAGAAAAAUAGAUAGCGUGGGUAUUUUAAUCGCAGAAUAUAAAAUUCGGGUGGAAUAUUUAAAAAAUAGCUAAAUAUGAUGGACAUAGUGAAUAUUGAAAAGUGCUUGGAUAUAGUAAACUCGCUGGGAUAUGUAAGAUAUAUGACGGAAAAAUAGGAUCGAAAUAUCUAGAUGGAUAAAGUUUGUUGGAAAAUUAAUUAAAGGUAAAUCGUGCACCUGUUGGGGUAAGUUUGAAAUAAUAAGAUAUACAGAAAAUAAGGAACUGGCUAGGCACGGAAAUUGAAAUGUAAAUUGCAAGAGGAUUCGUAAGAAGUAGAAAUGAAACGUAAUAAUUGAAGUUAAUAGAAUUAAUCGAUCGUAUUGGAAAUUCAGGAUACCUAAAAUAACGAAAAUUCAACAUUAUCUAGUGACGAAUGUUAAACUGUAUCUGCCUGAUCGUUCUUCUAUAAAAAGAAACCGUUUCAAUUUAAACAUUCAACACGUCUGGUAAACGGCGAUCACCAGGAUGGAAAGCUGUCAUUCCUUCGACUAAUUUUCCGUUUUCCUUCCUCUCUGGCAGAAUUUACGGCGCUGUUGCGACAAAUAAUCGUUGUCCGUCGCAGGCAGGAAGCUGACGAGGAGUUGGUUGGCCAGCGAGAGAUUUUCGGUACGAUAAUCGUAGGGAAACUCCGGACGCCCAUUGUGACAAUGGCCUCCCGAGGCAGCGCGAUAAUUACACCGGUAAUAACCUGGUAAAUAGAAAGAAACGUUCGGUAUCUUCUUUUCUGAUGCGAACUGUCGGAUAUUACUGACCAGCGAAAUUCGUUUGUUUCCUGCUAUCCAUCAUUCUCGAUUCACAACACACUGAGAAUCAGAAAUAAAAUCUGAAUCUAACACAGAGGCUAUUUGAUUCAUUGUUGCAAGAUUUUCGAGUGAUUAGGAAUGUUAAAGUGUGCUCAGCUAAUAUUACUGACCACUAAUACGUACAUAUUGUUGAUAAAAGGAAUCAAAACGACUGGUACACGAAAAAAUAUUUAACAAAGAAUUAUCAGAAUACCCAUGAAUGCAACAAUUUGCAAAUUUAUAGAAUUCCGAUGAAAAAUUUGAAUUUCUAAAAUCGAUUACUUUGACUCUGUAAACAUCGUCUUUUCUGUAUUUUCUCUCCUAUUUUUUUUUUUUUCUUUUUCAAGACUCGCGAUCUCGAUUUAGAAAGGAUUAAUUUCCUGUUUUCCUCUGCGUGCACUCUAUUUUCCUUCUUACGACGAGGAGGACGAUUCAGGAGGAAGAGAUCGAGGGGAAGGCAAAGGAAGGAGGGUAAAACGAGAAUGCAAGUUAAUACAGGAAAGAGGCAACGAUACUCAUCGAUAUGCGCAUAAACUCGAGCAUCGAACGAACGCCAAUCUAUAAAAGCGUAUGACGGUAGCAGAAGGUGGCUCGACGAAGGGAGGAGGCGAGGUAGACGAUAGCGAAGCGGAGGAGGAAAGACGUGGAGGAGGGAGGAGCAGUAGAUAUCGCGAUAUUGCGAGCAAGCUUAUGUGGAAAAAUAAUAAUAAGAAAAAGAAAAGCAAGAAAAGAUUGCGUGUAAGACGUCAUGAGCAGUGGACGCGUUAUGCGGACGAUGAUAUGGAACAUGUGUUGUGGAACGUGUCAUCGACGAGUGCGUACAGGCAUUAGUAGCGCUGUCUGAAACGGAUCGUCUGAUUCUACUGUUAGAUGUGUUGAGAGGAUUGCGGAUGUUGAUCUCCUGGUUAAUCUACUUCGUACAAUCAUUCCAGAAUACUUUAUGAGGUAUAUCUCUACUAUCUGUAAAGUUACCAUCAGAUAAAUGAGACUAAUAAAAGGAUAGUAGUAAACUUGAAGAUCUCCAGUUCCUUGGUUUCCAAUUUAUACAGAGUUUCUGUAUAAUUUAUACAGAGAUCGUGUUGUAUAACAUUUUCUGCUUCAUAAAAAUGAGUAAUACGAAGGUUAAAAAUAAUGUUUCUUUUUCUAUGUCCAUUUAACAAUAAGUACAAGAUAAAAUUCAGAAAUUGGAAUCACAGAACGAUUCUUGGAAUAUCAUAUCUACGAAGUACGAGAUCUACGAGCUUCGCAAAACCCACGAACGAACACACGUACGAACAAACGUAGGCGCAAUGUACUUCGUGUUAUAUCAAAAGAUAGUCCAAUCAAGAAUCAUGGCAGGAAGUUGGAAUCGAAAUGGAAAGAAGCAACGCUGGAUCGCGUGCGUUGCAAGAAUAAGAUGAGCCAGCGCGAGAAUUCUUGUUACGCGUUCCCUCCUUGUAUCGAAUAAAUCUAGCUCGAUGACGCCAGCGCGUAGCGAUGGACGCGCCCUGUACGCUAGGUAGGAAGUCAUCCUUCCUAGCAUCCAGAGUCCGCACAGGAAAUCUCGGACGCACCCACCGAAACAGCCCGCCCCCUCCGUCGGAGUCGAUUUAAUGUUUCGUUUCCUCUGCGACGAUAAGGGGCUACAAUUUUAUAGAAGCGGCCGCCCCUCCGCCGCAAACUCUCCACGAAAACGAAAGGAAGACGCCAGUGUACCAACCGAUCCGCAAUUAGACCCUCGUCAAAGUUCCCGCCACGGCAGGAUACGGAGAGGUCGAUCGAAAGUUAGUUUAAACAAUUGCGAAGGUAUUAAAAGUGUGGAUUGUUAGGUAUUAAGUACGUCAUGGUGUGAAAAUGAUCAUAAAUGGUGUAUUUAAUUGGAAAAGUUUCACACAGAACAAAGUGAAAGAUUGCACAGGGUUGGAGCUGGAAAUUUAUAUCGUUAUAUAAGUGUUACCAAAAAAACGUCGUGUCUGGAACAAUUAGGAAAAUGAAAUUUUGUUAAGAAACAAAUACGAUACAAAAUGUCCGAAGCACAUAUCACCUGCCAUAUGACAAAAUCGUGAAUGAGCAGAUUUUUACUUUCUUGCUGUAUUAGAGUGGACUAAUGUUCCUUUCUUUUCUUCUUAUCUAAUAUUAAUUAAGACAGACGAUGAACGUGGCAUAACAAGUAUUAUACUAUAUUAAUCGCAUAACGUUAUAAGAAUUUUGAUCGAUGAUUUUUUCGCGUCUGCAAUAAAUAUAAAAUUGUGAAAAUUCAACGGAUGCGUAUGAUGUAGAAAAAUAUAUAAAAUGUCAGAAGCACGCUCGUCAUAAUUUCUACUACUUUUAUUAAGCAAAGCAAAUUACUAUAUAGAUCACACCUCUUUCGUUCUCUUCGCAAAGAUAGAAAAUCCGUAGUCCAGUGACGAGGCAAUAAAAAAUUCUUACUGAAAAAAAAGUGAAACAAUACGAGAAGCAACGUGCACCGAAAGCUUUCUUCAGCUUCGGCGUGCAUUCGCAAGAAAUUACGAGCGCUCGAAGCCAUCCAAAAUCGAGCGUCGUUAUGCAGCUUGCACACGGAAGGAAGGAAGGAAGUCGAAGAGUGCUAAUCAUCCGGUUUACCCGGCUUUUUUCGGGUCAGCCUCGGUUGUUUGUUCGGUCGCGGGCCGCGUACACGGGGUAUAACACAGGCAGGAAAAAUGAAGGGCAGAAAGCUCGAUUCGCCGAGGCGUGACCAACGGAGUCGAGCAGAAGCUCAUACAUAUGUAGACGACUCAGGCCGGACACCGGGAACCGUGGGGAGGACCCUCCGGAAAAAUGAAUAUGCAGCCCCAUAGAGGGUAUUAUUUUAUAAAAUUUACUAUCCCAGCCAGGUAUUAUGUACUUUUCUGUCGUCCAUUCUCUACCGCGAACCGAGCGCACGUUAACUAGCCCACCUCGGCAGAUGUGGUCCCUGCGACCAACCACGUUUUCCACGGUAAGAAUCGACGUAAGGCGAAACACGAGAAGAACACGAUUUCAAGUCAGCUUGAUAGUAGAAAGAUUCAUUGACCCUUUGACGGUAUAAUCAAGUGUCAAAGAAUUCACGACAUACGAUUCAGAGAAUAAUUAUUUCUUUGUCGUCGAGAAUUCUUGGAUUUCCUCGGCAGAUAUAAAAACACGUACCUUCAGCUAUUUAUGGGGAAUAAACAUUAACGAUUUUGUUCAGACUUAUUCGAGAGUCUCCUGCGCUAUACAUAUCGUAGAAGGUGAUGGGACUCUGUUCUGUAUCAUUGAUCGGAAGGAAGUCUGCUAUCUUUGAUUAAUUUUUUCCAAUCACUCGAUCUUUAUUUUUAUGAAUAGAUUUUGUGGUUUUUG